rnacentral:rRNA from 1 species
GCAGUCGAACGGUGAAGCCCCGCUUGCGGGGUGGAUCAGUGGCGAACGGGUGAGUAACACGUGAGCAACCUGCCCCUGACUCUGGGAUAAGCGCUGGAAACGGCGUCUAAUACUGGAUACGAGACGUGAUCGCAUGGUCAACGUUUGGAAAGAUUUUUCGGUUGGGGAUGGGCUCGCGGCCUAUCAGCUUGUUGGUGAGGUAAUGGCUCACCAAGGCGUCGACGGGUAGCCGGCCUGAGAGGGUGACCGGCCACACUGGGACUGAGACACGGCCCAGACUCCUACGGGAGGCAGCAGUGGGGAAUAUUGCACAAUGGGCGCAAGCCUGAUGCAGCAACGCCGCGUGAGGGAUGACGGCCUUCGGGUUGUAAACCUCUUUUAGCAGGGAAGAAGCGAGAGUGACGGUACCUGCAGAAAAAGCACCGGCUAACUACGUGCCAGCAGCCGCGGUAAUACGUAGGGUGCAAGCGUUAUCCGGAAUUAUUGGGCGUAAAGAGCUCGUAGGCGGUUUGUCGCGUCUGCUGUGAAAUCUGGGGGCUCAACCCCCAGCCUGCAGUGGGUACGGGCAGACUAGAGUGCGGUAGGGGAGAUUGGAAUUCCUGGUGUAGCGGUGGAAUGCGCAGAUAUCAGGAGGAACACCGAUGGCGAAGGCAGAUCUCUGGGCCGUAACUGACGCUGAGGAGCGAAAGGGUGGGGAGCAAACAGGCUUAGAUACCCUGGUAGUCCACCCCGUAAACGUUGGGAACUAGUUGUGGGGUCCAUUCCACGGAUUCCGUGACGCAGCUAACGCAUUAAGUUCCCCGCCUGGGGAGUACGGCCGCAAG